AAUGUUAUCGUUGUGUGUUGGAACUGUCAACUAGGGCUGCGACACUUUUUGAAAAGACGCGUUUAUUGUUUAUUUUGUUUUACAUGUGUAAAAAACAACAGAAUGUUUGAGAAGUAGUUAUAAAACCGUGAACCAAUUAGAUUGUUGCUAGAAAUGGAUUCUACUGUUCAGCAGUGUAUCGUUUAUGAAGCUGAUUCAUGGAAUUCUUUGUCUGAAGCAAUUGAAAAGAUACUGCAAAAUAAACCGAUUGGUUGGGUAUCAUUUGAGCAGAUGUACGCCAUUGUAUAUAAAUGUGUAUGUAGUGGAUCUGCAGAGAAGAUGCACGGUGAUCUCCUAGAGCUCUGUUCUAAACAUUUAGAUGAAGUGGAACAAACCUUAAGGGAGAAGAAGACAGCUCAUUUUCAAAAUCAUGAUGAUGACUCUGUGAGCUUUGUUCUCUCGUUUCGUGAUGCGUUAGAACUGUACCUGAAUGCUGUUCCCCAGAUAACACCUAUAUUUGGAUUCAUGAAUAAGUUCUUUGUUGAAAUGAGACUCCAAACUACAUUGCAGAAUGAAUUGCUGGACCUUUUCAGAGUGCGAGUAGCCAACAAACAUAUAGAUACUCUAAUGAACAGUGUACGAGAUCUGUUAUCAAGGCCAUUUGCAGUGGAUCCUUCUGUACUAUUAGGACUGUUUGUACGGCUGCAUUCUUUGGGCCAUGGUGAUUAUGCACUGGCUUAUCCAGAUCUCUUUGCUCGAUACAUUCCUUGUGUGCUACCACCAAUGCAAGAAAGUGAUCUGGAAAGGCAUGUGACUGAAACAAAAGUUAUGCAGGAUCAGAUGCGUAUAGUACAACUCUCAGAAUCAGCUACUACCAUGCGGGGCAGUAAGCGUCGUGGGGAUGAUGAAAGUUAUGGUCCAUCUGCUGGUGUAGGUGCUACAGCCGUACAGGCUGGAACACCACAGCUCUACAACUAGACUGAUUGGAACCUUGGGUUUGAAAACUGUAGUUAAUCAAAACCAUUCCAGGCCAAUUUCAUUCUACUGUUGUCAUUUAUCCACAUGUCUUCAGCUGCUCUAGUUACAAAUUUGAAGAUAGAAUGGAGCUUCAAAUUUUAGCAUGGAGUUAAAGGAAGCACUACAGCCAGUAUGAAAUCAUCAGAAUCAAUUAGGAAAUACUUUCCCCGUCUGCUCAAUUACAGUGCCUGAAUACUUAAUUAUAAUUACUGGCUACAAAAUCUAAGCAAACAAAGGGAUUGCUAGUAACUCAUUGGAGCAUGUGAAUAUUGGAAAACACAGUAUACAAUAACAUUGAGUUGAAUCUAUCAACAUGAGAACAGUGAGCAAUUGCAUCUAUCUUCCAUUUUCCUACAUGUUACCAGCACCACAAGAAGUGAGGAUGAGGAAUGAGCAGUUUCUCUCCUGAACAACAGUGUCUGUUCCAGAUUGUAAAGAAAAAAGUCUGAGAGGAAACUGAACCCAGAGGGAGUGGCAGAGAAGAGAGGUGUGCGUGUGUGUGUGUGUGUGUGUGUGUGUGUGUGUGUGUGUGUGUGUGUGUUUUACUGUUGUGUUUGUUUGGUAUUGUAUGCACAUGAAUAAUAUUCUUAAUUGACAACAUUUUUGUUAAGUAACUCGCAUAAAAAAUUGUGAAUGAUGAAAAAUGAUUAUGUGAAAGUUGUCUUCAUUUAUUAUACAAAGAUUGUAUUAAUGUACACAUCUGACUGGAAACAAUCAUUGUUGAAAUUCAGUUUGAAGUGAAUUUAAAAUUAGCCCAGUUUUUUUGAAAUAUACGUUGAUCGACUGAGUGAUGCACUGACUUGUAUAACAGAUGAAGACAUCUUUUUAAUGACCAUUUUCAAUUCUUAAAAAAUGCACUCGAUGUUAUUCUCUGUUUUGUUUUUAUUGACAUCAUUGUAUUUUCAGUUCACAGUAAAAUAUUUAUCUCCAUGUCACCAAAAUAAAUGAAAAGUUAUAUAAUUUCAUUGUGUGUAUAUAUUCCUUGAUGUGAACUCCUUGGCUGUGGCUUACAUACGCUGUAAAUAUGCAGAUUAUGUGGAAGUAAAGUGCUUUCAGUAAUGGUGCACUGAGGUUCUCAAAAUCAGAACUUCAGCAACUGAAAUAAGCCUUUUGUGUGUGAUUUCAUUUUAUGACAUAUUUUGUAGUAGAAGCAGGUCGCAAGAAACUAACAUACUACAUACUGUAAUUAUAUUUGUACAGAGUUCUUAACCAAAAUAUUUGUGCAUAAUAUACCUUCAUAAAUACAUAAUUUUUGCUGUAUUAUAUGACAUUUAUUUUACAUGGAUUUUUAUUGUAGAGAUUUAUUUUUUUAUUGAUAACUACCGUGCUUAGGAUGCAUGAUUAACAUUGUAUUGUAGAACAUUCCUGUGUGAAACAAUAUCAGAUAAGUACAUGUAUUUUCUUGCUUUAAAAUUUACCCUUGUUGUUUUGUCGUUUUUUGUACGUGUAUUGAUAAGUGUUUGAAUCUGUGGUAUACAGCAGAAUCAGAAAUACAUGUUUACUUAUUUAUGUGAAUUACA